CCCCGGAGACAAGUCAGCCAAUCAGCUUCUAGCGCACGUUCUGAGCGUUCCACUUUGCCCAGUAACACGAAGCGCGCACAAGUCAUUGUCUGCUGAGGAAGGGAAAAACACAGCAAGUAGUCUUUUGUUUCACCUAGGACAAGUUCGGACAAAACCUGUCUUUCUCUCUGUGUCCGUGUCCGAGUUAAAUAGGCAUUGGGGACAAAGUUAGUGUUUGGUAGGCUGUUUAUUUUAUGUGCUGCACAAGUGUGGCUACAAACAAGAAUACAUUUGCAAAAUGGGUGAUAUUGCAGUAUGAAAGUGAACGUGUUUAGUAAAAAAAAAAAAAAAAAAAAAUCAUUAUAUGGAUUUUUAAUAAUGCACAUAUCCACAAAUGACAAAAUAACACUAUAUCUAGUACAAAAAAAAUAUGCAUGCAUUAAAAUAGUGAUUUCAGUCAUUUCUGUAUGCAGAAAGAAUCACAUUUGUGGGCUGCAUUAUGACAUCAUUGUGUUUGUACAUCCAAGCAUCAGGCUGGAUAUCUAGGAGAAUCCAGCACACAAAAAGGUGCGAGUUCCACAGGAGAUUGCCAGCCUGUGAUGCAACAUUACAUCACUCCAUAUAAGUCAGUCCUCUAGCUAGCUAAGGUAGUGUCUGUCUCAGUACACUCCAUGCACAUGGACUAUGGGUUAAACAUGACUUUAGUGGCCUUGUCAAUAUUUGUAACCACUCAAAGCUGCACACAAAAACACUGAGUUUAAUAAAUGUGCAUUGAUUUGGUGGGUGCAAGCUCCCGUACUACUACAGCACCUCUUGUGGAGACAUAAUUCAGUAUGAUGUAAUGUUAUAUGGUCCUAAAUGAAUCAACAUUCUGUCAUCGCUGCUCAUCUGAUGCAACGUUAAGAACUUACUGGGAAUGACGAAGACCAGAAAUAACUGGUUUGAAAGAUAACCAUGUUGGAGGCAAAAACAAUCCCAUGGCAGACAAACACCUAUAAAAUGACAUCAGUUAAUAAUGAACCCUGUGGAGAUUUAUUUAUUAACAGGUAACCGGUAGUUAGACAACAAUCAAGAUAUGACAUUUAGCGUAGGAUAUCCUUUCAGCAUGUUUUAUUAUGGUUCCUAACUUUUAUUGUAACAGCAGUUUAUUCUUAGAACUCAGUUAAAAUAUGUUAGUGAUUUACCAGAGGCUGUUUGACCAACUGUGUGACCAACAUUCUUCUGUGUGCACUUCAGCUGGCUCAUAAAAAAGUGUGAAAAUUAUGGCCAGUUAGCCUGAGUUCAUGGAUGUUUUGGUAAUAUGAGUGAGGGCUGAACAAACCGUUCCCUUCGCAGGCAGGAUAACCCGUACAACACGUACAACAUGGAAGUGCUAUUAGGAAUGUCUAUAUGUAGUAGUAAAAAAAAAAAACAACAACAAAAAAAACUACAGCCACGAGUUACAAUACUGUUAAAAAUUCGAACAUGCAUAAAACAGG